CACGUAGGGGGGCAAGCGUUGUCCGGAUUUAUUGGGCGUAAAGAGCUCGUAGGCGGUUCGGUAAGUCGGGUGUGAAACCUCCAGGCUCAACCUGGAGACGCCACCCGAUACUGCUGUGACUAGAGUCCGGUAGGGGGAGCGUGGAAUUCCUGGUGUAGCGGUGAAAUGCGCAGAUAUCAGGAGGAACACCAGCGGCGAAGGCGGCGCUCUGGGCCGGAACUGACGCUGAGGAGCGAAAGCGUGGGGAGCAAACAGG
rnacentral:rRNA from 1 species